GAAGAUGUACAAGUAUCAAUUUGGGCAAUAUGCUUGGACACACAUGAUUCUCAUCAUAGUGUUUACCCAGUCAGCCUUCACUGUAGCCAAUAUUUUCGAAGGGAUCUUCUGGUAACACACCUAUCAAAAUAGUUUUUCAUAGUCAGUUUUAUCCAUUCUUGAGUUGAUAUAUAUCUGCAUUGCUUAGUAAUCAUUAUUCUCUUACUGCUAUACUGUAAUGGCUUAAAUAACAAUCUUAUGAGUAAUUAAUGCAUUCACAGAAAAUAUCAUUAGUGCGGACUGGUUAACUACAGGGAAUCUGGAACGUUUCACUGCUUAUAAUAGUUCUUUUCCUUUUGAUUGAAAUGUAUUUCUUAUUUGUGAUUUAUUGAAUUGCUUUUACCUUUUUAAUUAUUACAGAAAGAUACAUAGGCUCUUUCUUCUAUUUAAUUAUUAUUCUUAUUGCAUUUUACUUUUACACCCGCAAAUUCUACUCUGUGGUAAGAUACCUGAGAAGUCAGGAUAUACAUGCAGGUUUCUUCUCCCAGCAUCACUUAUUGCUAUCAAUGAUGUUGCUGCUUAUUUUUUUGGUUUCUUUUUUGGGAAAACACCUUUGAUCAAGUUAUCUCCAAAGAAAACAUGGGAAGGUUUUAUUGGAGCAUCGGUUGCAACUUUGAUAUCAGCAUUUGUGGUAAUUAUUAUUAUUCAUUCCUCAAAUUGACAGUUGGUUCAGUUGAUACAAAAUUAGCUGGUUUUGAAUAUGAUAAAAAAAUGAAUUCAUGGAAAUUCACUGAAAUUCUUAUUAUUGUUGUUGUUGUCGUUCAUUUAUUUUGGCAUCAUGUGGUGGGUGAACAGUAAUCUUCUAAAAUUUUGUGCACUAGGCCUAAGUCUGAAGCUUGAUCUGAACACAACAAAUUCAUCCAAGUUUUUUCUUUUUUUUUUAUGCUUAUAUUUAUUUAAACAAAAACUAUAAUUAUUUGUCUUAGCUUAUAGGUCUGGGAGUAAUAUCACAAAUUUGAAGGACCAUGUAUUUUGAACAGAUUAUAUUCUUGUGUUUUAGUCCUUCUUGGCCGAAAUAAGAUAUUUCAAGAAGUGUAAAUUUUCAAUAAAAAGGACUGCUUUCUGGACUAUCAGCACUGAAUCCUAACUCCUGAUACCGUUUUGUUCUGCAACUAUGUCUUCCUUUCAAAGAUCCUUUAUCAUUGUUUAAGUUCCUAACUAAUAGAGGACGUGACACGAAAAUAUCUGCCAACUCUUAUCAGUGACGUUCUUAAAGCUAGUUAGCCAUCCAAAACAUCAAAUAUGAAUUAAAAAGUAAAAUCCAAUUUACAGAAGCUGAUUGAAGAUUCUGACCAUGGUCCACAAAUCCGAACGAAAACUUGCUAGCAUGUCAGUAUACUUUUCUAAAAACAAUAGCACAUUCUAUAGUCUAUACUUGUUCUAUCACAACUUAGCAGUUUCCUUUGACAUUAUUUCUGUUAUAUUCCAUUUUCACUCAGUUACCAAGUUUCCGAGUGUGCUUUUUAUCAAUUUUGAGUUUGCCUUUUUUUUGGAAUCAUAAGUUUAGAAUGCAUGCUGUUGUGCUUGUGCGUCUGCCUACUCAAAAAAUAGGGGAAAUGAUAAUAGUGAGAUUGGAGUAGUGUUUGGAAAUGCUUGUUCAUAUCAAGGCAGUGUUGUUUUUGUAUUGGGGAUUCACAAAUGUUUCCGCUACCUGUCAUUCAGUUAGCAAACAUCUUUGGGCAUUUCCAGUGGCUGACAUGUCCAAGAAAGGUAACUUGUUUGACAUAUGUUUUAUGGAAGUUGCCUGUUCUAUUUCAUAUGUUUCUCAUUUGGACAGAAAGCCUGCAGGACUUAUCAACAGGGUGGCUUCAGUGUGAUCCUGGCCCGCUAUUUAAACCAGAGUACUAUUCCUUACCUGGAUGGAUAUCAUAUUGGGUGAGUGAUUGAUCUAGAAAUGUUUCAUAGAUACAUCUCAAGAAUUUGAGCAUGUUCUGCUUAAUUUAUAGCACAAGUAUAUUUGAGUUGAUGAUAAUCUUAGCCAUGCUAAAAACUUUAAACAAGCAAAGGCUAGUUUAAUAUGAGUGAAGUUUAACUGAGCCACACUUAAAAAAAAUUCCAUUGGUCAUCAUGGCAUAGGUAGAGUGGUUUAUACCUUAAAUCCUUACAACGAGUCUGUUUUGAGUGCAGAACUGAAGGUUGCUUUAUCAUAUAUGAUAUUAGUUUGUGAUUAUAAGAUUAAUGUUUUCAAUGUCAAUUCAGCUAGACUUAAAUAUAGUUCAGUUCAAUAAUACAUUUUUUUGUUAAAGUUCUGCACUUAAACACUCUGAGAUAUAUGUUGGCUUUGUUCUGAGUUCAAUGUCAAUGCUUAGCUUGUUCUUUAAGCUUGAAAUAUUUGAUUAUUCAUGUUGUUCAUUCUCAUUUCUUGUUGAACACAAAGUGCAAUUCUUCUUGCCGAUGUUUUACAGUUCCCUUGGAAAGAGAUUUCAGUUUUGCCAGUGCAGUGGCAUGCUUUAUGUUUGGGUUUAUUUGCAUCAGUUAUAGCUCCUUUUGGAGGCUUUUUCGCUAGUGGUUUCAAGAGAGCUUUUAAGAUCAAGGAUUUUGGGGAUAGCAUACCUGGACAUGGUGGAUUUACUGAUAGAAUGGACUGCCAGAUGAUCAUGGCUGUUUUUGCCUACAUCUAUCAUCAGUCAUUUGUUUCUCCACAAGACUAUACAGUUGAGAUGGUUUUGGACCAGGUAACUAUUUUAUCUCACAGUGGUAGAGGGGAGUCCAAAUCAUUUGGAAAUGGCCGCUUUCCCUCUUAUGUUCUUUAUUUUUUAUCCUAAUAUCUGGAUGGAGCACAAUGGGAACCUUCAUUUCCAUUUAAUUUCUGAAUAAAGAAAAGUGCAUGAAUCCUUUUGCUUAGCAUGAAGAAAUGAUGAUGUAGAUAUUGGGGAGCCUUACUUUAGAGGAGCAGAAAGUUUUGUAUAACAAGCUAGGGCAGAUAUUCCAAGAGAGGCAGCUUCACAAGAGAGACAACUGAAGCUGCGGAAAAGUUUUGUAGACCUUUGUAUAUCCUAGGUCGCUGUGUAUUCCAGUGUUGCUUCGGAUAGGUGAUUAAAGGAAGAUUGCAUGAAGUUCUUUUCUUUUUUAAAUUGAUUCUUGUUCUUUCUUUUCUAACAGAGAAUUCUUUCAGUUGUAUGCACUCAAAUACUGACCUGUGUGUCUUGUUAGCUCAUCUUUAUUAUUAUUAUUUUUUCAAAUGUUCCCUGAAGACAUAUCUGUGAAGUCAUGCAUUCAAGCUGAUUGCAUAAC
rnacentral:misc_RNA from 1 species